GACGAACGCUGGCGGCGUGCUUAACACACGCAAGUCGAACGGAAAGGCCCUGCUUUUGUGGGGUGCUCGAGUGGCGAACGGGUGAGUAACACGUGAGUAACCUGCCCUUGACUUUGGGAUAACUUCAGGAAACUGGGGCUAAUACCGGAUAGGAGCUCCUGCUGCAUGGUGGGGGUUGGAAAGUUUCGGCGGUUGGGGAUGGACUCGCGGCUUAUCAGCUUGUUGGUGGGGUAGUGGCUUACCAAGGCUUUGACGGGUAGCCGGCCUGAGAGGGUGACCGGCCACAUUGGGACUGAGAUACGGCCCAGACUCCUACGGGAGGCAGCAGUGGGGAAUAUUGCACAAUGGGCGGAAGCCUGAUGCAGCAACGCCGCGUGCGGGAUGACGGCCUUCGGGUCGUAAACCGCUUUCGCCUGUGACGAAGCGUGAGUGACGGUAAUGGGUAAAGAAGCACCGGCUAACUACGUG
rnacentral:rRNA from 1 species